ACUAGAUGCUCCUAUGUCAUAGGCAAGCAAGUACAUGCAUUUUACAUAUCUCUUGAUUACCAGAAGUAGCUUACCUUUUAAAAGGCAUCAUGAUGCAGGCCAAGUUUACAAAUUGACAAGGGAUUCUCAAACAGCUGUGAAAAUUUCAUGGAGCAUGCAUGGAGCCAAUAAUAAAUUAGAACAACUUGGGGAUAAUAUGAAUUUCUACCCUCCUUUUAGAACAAAGUAGCAAAGGUCCUCACUACUACCAUGCAGUUCAAUUGUAUCUUCAUCUACUGGUUUGGUGGAAACAUGAAAGCAAGGGUUGGGUUCGCUCUCUAAUGAAAGCAUCAAGUUACAUGUCCAUUUCUUUAGAUCUACA